rfam:TPA: Bos taurus chromosome 8, whole genome shotgun sequence.
UCCCUGGUGGUUCAGUGGCUAAGACUCUGAGCUCCCAAUGCAGGGGAUGCAGGUUUAAACCCUGGUCAGGGAA